AUGAAGGAACACUUUGAUGUUCGCAACAUGAGUGGAAUUUACCGCUCCGACCGAUCACUUCGGUCCCGGUGGUCGACAAUCAACUCGGGUUGUCAAAGGUGGGCGGCCUGUCAAAAGGCGGUUGACAAGUUGAACCCAAGUGGCACAAAUGAGGAUGAUAGAGUAAGUGAAGAGGAGAGGAAAACCAAGAAGGGGAAGAUCAAGAAAGGAAGUAUAUUUACUUUGCCUCAUUGCUAUGAAGUGUUGGAGGAUGAUGAGAAAUGGAAGAAGCGUGAAGAUUUGGAUGAUUUUCAUUUGAGCAACAAACGGAAGCGAACAAUUAAGUUGGAUGAUGAUGAGGAUGAUGAGGAUGAUGCAUCAAGUGAUGACGGCAAGAGAAGCCCCACACCCAACUUGGUUUCAUACUCGAAGCCAAAGCGACCGGAUGGGUGCAAGAAAGACAAAACCGAAAAGAAGAAGAUGAAAGGAGAUGAUGAGCUCAAAAAUGUUAUGGAAGCUAUUGUGAAGGCAAGAAAAGAAGCCAAUGAGGUGAGGAAAAUGGCAAGGAACCAAGAUGCCGCGGCCGAGGAGAGGAGUGGAGGAGAGUAA
rnacentral:rRNA from 1 species